rnacentral:snRNA from 1 species
CCCUAGCCCCGAUAGCAGUGAAAAUCCUUUUCUUUUUUAAAGAAAAAAAAAGAAAAGAUUACUUCACUUAAUUUUCAUUUUAAGCGGAGUUCAGUGAACUUCGUUUGUAACGAAUAGCGGGAAAUAGC